UACGUAGGUGGCGAGCGUUAUCCGGAUUUAUUGGGCGUAAAGCGCGUGCAGGCGGUCCUGUAAGUCGGACGUGAAAGCUCCUGGCUUAACUGGGAGAGGUCGUUCGAUACUGCAGGACUUGAGGUUGGGAGAGGGACGUGGAAUUCCCGGUGUAGUGGUGGAAUGCGUAGAGAUCGGGAGGAACACCAGUGGCGAAGGCGGCGUCCUGGCCCACACCUGACGCUGAGACGCGAAAGCGUGGGUAGCGAACGGGAUUAGAUACCCCUGUA
rnacentral:rRNA from 1 species